GCAGCGCGAGGCGGGCGGCAGCAGCAGCAGCAGCAGCAGCAGCGAACUUUCUCCUUUGUUGGGAAACUUGGGCGCUCUUGCUCUCUCGCCCGCCCCAGCCGGGAGGCGGGGAAACUGAGGCCAGGCAGGUGGCGGCGCUCGGAGCCCGGGGAGUGGGGAGGGGCAGGGGCGAGGAGCCACCCAAGCCUGAGGGGAAAGUGCCUUCAGAUCAGAGUUCUCCACUGAGCACCAGGAUUGGCAAGCUGUGGCAUCAUGGGCAAGCAUUAAGGCUGGGACAAAACCCGAAGGAAUUCCCUGAUAAGGGUCUUGUUAUUCAGUAUUGUAGAAUUUGGACAAAUG